GACGAACGCUGGCGGCGUGCCUAAUACAUGCAAGUUGAGCGCUGAAGGUUGGUACUUGUACCAACUGGAUGAGCAGCGAACGGGUGAGUAACGCGUGGGGAAUCUGCCUUUGAGCGGGGGACAACAUUUGGAAACGAAUGCUAAUACCGCAUAAAAACUUUAAACACAAGUUUUAAGUUUGAAAGAUGCAAUUGCAUCACUCAAAGAUGAUCCCGCGUUGUAUUAGCUAGUUGGUGAGGUAAAGGCUCACCAAGGCGAUGAUACAUAGCCGACCUGAGAGGGUGAUCGGCCACAUUGGGACUGAGACACGGCCCAAACUCCUACGGGAGGCAGCAGUAGGGAAUCUUCGGCAAUGGACGAAAGUCUGACCGAGCAACGCCGCGUGAGUGAAGAAGGUUUUCGGAUCGUAAAACUCUGUUGGUAGAGAAGAACGUUGGUGAGAGUGGAAAGCUCAACAAGUGACGGUAACUACCCAGAAAGGGACGGCUAACUACGUG
rnacentral:rRNA from 1 species